CGGACCUUACUUCAUAGGAUCAUUUCUAUAGUAAGCUCUUCCCGAGAACUUCACUAUGUGAAUCAACUCGUAACCACGAUGAGGAGACGUGGCGCGGCACCUGAGCGUGAGGCAGGCGAUGGUAGAUCUACAUCAGCCCUCGAAUCGUCCCUUCACGGGGAAAUGGUGUUGUCGCUGUCUGA